CUGGGCAUUUGAAAAAAAUAAAACAUCUUUUUUACUGUAUAUAGAUUUGUUCUGUCAUGACAGUCAUCAACUCAUAUGUGUGUCAGGUUCUCAGUCAAGGCAUCAGCCCUACAUAAAACCUCAAGGACUUCUUAAUUUGUUUCUGAACAUGCACCUACAUGGAUUGUUUUUGCCAUUUUAUUUUUCCCCAAAUAACCAAUGGCUUUUGAAUCACUUACUAUUGAAAAAUUUUGCAUCCCAGUUUUUCCUCAAUGACUUAGAUGGACUACUGCAUGUCUCUUCCUCUAGUCUUUUGCCUGUAACAUCUGUAUGUGUAUAGUCACCCUGAAUCUCUACUGAGCUACUGAGCUACUCCAUAAAUAAAUAAGUUUAUUUCAGUCAAUUUUAGAUACUUUCUGAUGUUUCUAUGAGUCAUAUGGGAGUCUUAUAAUCCACCAUCUUGUUGAGAAAUUUCAAUAUCUUUAUAAUAUUACAUUUAUGUUAAUGUAUAACAAUUUACUUAUGUUUCAAUUUCUGUUUGUUUUAUAAGGAAGCAAAUAGAAGCAAUCAUGGCACUGCAAGUUGUGACUACUCCAAGAUGUGAAUCAUGGAUCAUGCAAACUACAUUCAUGUUCUAACCUGCCCUCCAAAGGGAGAAUGAAGUAAAAAUUAUCCCAUUCAGUAUGUCCAGGGGCGUUGCCAGCUAAUUGCUCUUAUAGCCUGUGAGGGAGGAAGAAAGAAACAUUUGCCAACCAGGCCAGUGACAGAAAUGGAUUCGAAACAUCAGCGUGUGAAGCUGAAUGAUGGCCACUUCAUGCCCGUCCUGGGAUUUGGCACCUAUGCGCCUGCAGAGGUAAUAAUAAUAUUUUUAGUGUUGAGAGUUCAAAGGAGCUAGAGUAAGUGGAAGCUAGAAUAAGUGGAAGCUGACCAGGUUGUCAGGCUUGUAUUCCCAAGUUACCUGCAUGACUCUCCUUUAAACGUCAGUCUUUGUUCUGCAAUGCAGUCUUGUCACAGGGUCAUCUACUGCUUAUUUGGGGCACUGUUUUGUCUUCUGUUUAUGUUUGUUUCACAGCUUGUCAGAGUCUAUAAAACUCAGCAGAAAGAACACGGCCUGCCUGCUCCCUCUCUUGAAGAUUGAUUGCAAUGGGAGUGGUUUCUCUGUUUCUUUGUAUAGUUGAACAGAUAUUUACUUCUUCCAAGAAGACACAAUUCAGAGGAAUAUUAAUGGCAAAAGUUAGUGGAGACAGGUUGCAUGAAAUCUGUUGGGAGAGUAUCACUGUUCUGUUGGGUGGCCUUGAGCACCAAACUGUAAUACUAGAGCUGGACUAAAGAGAGUUUCCCAUGUACUACUCUCAGCUCUGGGAAAAUUACCUGAAACGAUAAAAUAUCCUCAUUUUAA